GCUGGGCAUGGUGGCACAUGCCUGUAGUCCUAGCUACUUGGGAGGCUGAGGCAGGAGAAUCACUUGAACCCAGGAAGUGGAGGUUGCAGUGAGCUGAGAUCACGCCACUGAACUUCUGCCUGGGUGACAGAGCAAGACUCUGUCUCAA
rnacentral:SRP_RNA from 1 species